rnacentral:rRNA from 1 species
UACGUAGGGACCAAGCGUUGUUCGGAUUUACUGGGCGUAAAGGGCGCGUAGGCGGCAAUUCAAGUCAUCUGUGAAAUCUCCGGGCUUAACCCGGAACGGUCAGAUGAUACUGCUUUGCUAGAGUGCGGAAGGGGCAAUCGGAAUUCCUGGUGUAGCGGUGAAAUGCGCAGAUAUCAGGAGGAACACCGGUGGCGAAGGCGGGUCUCUGGGCCGAUACUGACGCUGAGGAGCGAAAGCGUGGGGAGCGAACAGG